rnacentral:lncRNA from 1 species
CUUUAUGAUACCAGGUUGAUAAAAGCUGCAGUGAAUUGCAGAAAAUGUUAACAAAGCACUGUCUCUAGGCAUACAUGUGUUGAUGAUCCAGAACAAGUCGCCGUGACCUCACUGGCAGGAAGCAUGGUGCAUGACAUCUUUGGGAAACGAGAUGAUACACUGGUAAAUUUAUAAAUAAAAGCACUUUUCGUUGAACAAGUCAUAAGUAUUUGGACAAAUUCACUUACACUGUAUUAAAGUAGUCAGAAGUUUAGAAUUUGGUCCCAUAUUCAUUGCACUCAAUGACUACAUCAAGCUUGUGGCUUUACAAAGUUGUUGGAUGCAUUUGCAGUUUGUUUUGGUUGGUAAGGUUUAGUGGUUUCCUACAUACAUGCUGUACAUGAACAUUUUGAAAAUGAUCUCACCUUUACUUCUUUCCUUCCCUCAACAGUUUCUCUCCCAUUUGUUUGAGAAGGCCUACUCCUGUUACAGAAUAAGUUUAACAAAUAUGUGCUUCAAGGCGUGGAAAAGGUUCAUCUGGAAUAAGCGGAAGGAGGCCAGGGAGUUGACGCUGAAGAUGGAGACAGCUGAGAGGCACUACAUACAGAGGGGCCUGAGGGUCGCACUCUGCAAGUGGGUGGAGUGGGUACAGGUCUGCAAGAGAAGGCAGAACGAUGCCAUGAAGAAGAUCCAGCGAGUGUGGAAUGCUAUCCACUGUAAGAUUGUCAUAGGUGCUUGGCGCUAUGUGGUGCAGGACUCAAAACGGACAAAGGAGUACUUUGAGGUAUGA